rnacentral:rRNA from 2 species
GGAUGUGAUCAUACUAACAAUAAGGCAAAAGAUCUCAUCAGAACUCGGAAGUUAAGCAUGCUUAGGCGAGCGUAAUACUAGUGUGUAACCUCAGGGGAAGUCCUCAUGUUGCAUCUU